AACGAACGCUGGCGGCAUGCCUUACACAUGCAAGUCGAACGGCAGCGGGCCUUCGGGUGCCGGCGAGUGGCGAACGGGUGAGUAAUGCAUCGGAACGUGCCAUUGAGUGGGGGGAUAACGUAGCGAAAGUUACGCUAAUACCGCAUAUUCUGUGAGCAGGAAAGCAGGGGACCGCAAGGCCUUGCGCUCUUUGAGCGGCCGAUGUCAGAUUAGCUAGUUGGUGAGGUAAAGGCUUACCAAGGCGACGAUCUGUAGCGGGUCUGAGAGGAUGAUCCGCCACACUGGAACUGAGACACGGUCCAGACUCCUACGGGAGGCAGCAGUGGGGAAUUUUGGACAAUGGGCGCAAGCCUGAUCCAGCCAUGCCGCGUGAGUGAAGAAGGCC
rnacentral:rRNA from 1 species